rnacentral:tRNA from 1 species
GCCUUCGUGGUGGAAUGGUAGACACGCAGCCUUGAGGUGGCUGUGUCCUUACGGAUGUGGGGGUUCGACUCCCCCCGAAGGCA